rnacentral:rRNA from 1 species
UACGGAGGGAGCUAGCGUUGUUCGGAAUUACUGGGCGUAAAGCGCACGUAGGCGGCUUUGUAAGUUAGAGGUGAAAGCCCGGGGCUCAACCCCGGAAUUGCCUUUAAGACUGCAUCGCUUGAAUCCAGGAGAGGUGAGUGGAAUUCCGAGUGUAGAGGUGAAAUUCGUAGAUAUUCGGAAGAACACCAGUGGCGAAGGCGGCUCACUGGACU